UGAGUAACCUGCCCUUCACUCUGGGAUAACUCCGGGAAACCGGGGCUAAUACUGGAUAUGACUCGAACAGGCAUCUGUUUCGGGUGGAAAGAUUUAUUGGUGGAGGAUGGACUCGCGGCCUAUCAGCUUGUUGGUGGGGUAAUGGCUCACCAAGGCGACGACGGGUAGCCGGCCUGAGAGGGCGAUCGGCCACACUGGGACUGAGACACGGCCCAGACUCCUACGGGAGCA
rnacentral:rRNA from 1 species